GCCGAGAUAGCUCAGUCGGUAGAGCAGAGGACUGAAAAUC
rnacentral:tRNA from 17 species